ACACUGCCAGGAGGUUCAUACCCACCAGAUCGUCCAGAAUUUAUAUGGGAACAAUUGCCAUCAGAAGAUCCUUAUCCAAAAGUUAAAGUACAUUGGCUUCCAGACGUUAACGGACGGCCAGGCACUCAUUUCUAUGCAAAGUAUCGCAUUAAGGGCGGAACACAAUGGGAAAUAACUAAAUACAUUAUCGACAAUGACUUUGUUGUUAUUUCUGGUCUAGAACCAGAUCGAAGAUAUGAAUUCAUUGUGACAUCAGUCGAUGGCGACCAUUUCACAGAAAGUGCAAUUCAAGAAGUUCAAAUCGUCGGCGAAGAUGGUCCAAAUAAGGUUCCAAGUGAAAAUCAUUAACUUCAAAACACCCGAAGGUGUUCCAAGCAGCAUGUUCAACAAUAAUAAUAAUUGAACAAACAAUUUAAACAAAGAAAAUAAUAAUUUAGAUAAGCAUAAUAUUCGAGUCAAGUUUAUUAUUUGUUAUAGUAAAUUUCAUUUAUUCAAAAUUAUUUGCAUUCAAAAGUCCAAUAUUUCAAUAAACAAAAAAAAAAGUAAACUCAACAAAAAGUCAACUUAAAUUGCAUGACCAUAUAUAGAAGGCCUUUUGGUUCGACUUUGUACUGAAAAUUAAAAUUGAGAGCUAUAUUAAAAAACAAAAAUCAGUUUUAGACCGAAUUUUGACCAA